rnacentral:lncRNA from 1 species
CUCCACCUUCUUCAUCACAUUCUUGUUAGUCUUAUCCUGCGCACCCCUGCACUCAUCCUCCACCACCCCUAACCGUAGAAUCCUCCACCAGCCAUUCUUUCCUCUGGACAUCAUUCCUCCAUCUCAACCACCGUCCCCUUCUCCACCUUCUCCAUCAACCCCUCCCAAAAUCCCUUUUGCCACUACUACGCCUAAUCAAUCUCCAUUUUUUCCUUCUUACCCGUCCCCUCCACCUCCUCCUGGUCCUGCUACAUUUGCUUCUUUUCCUGCUAAUAUCUCUUCUCUUAUCCUCCCUCAGUCGCCUGUACCAAAACCCAGUUCCCACAAACUACUUGCUGUUGCAAUUUCCGCUGUUGUUUCUGCCAUUCUUGUAUUGGGUUUU